rnacentral:rRNA from 1 species
CCUUGCGCAGCUAUAAUGCAGUCGAGCGAACAGAUGAGAAGCUUGCUUCUCUGAUGUUAGCGGCGGACGGGUGAGUAACACGUGGGUAACCUACCUAUAAGACUGGGAUAACUCCGGGAAACCGGGGCUAAUACCGGAUAAUAUUUUGAACCGCAUGGUUCAAUAGUGAAAGACGGUUUCGGCUGUCACUUAUAGAUGGACCCGCGCCGUAUUAGCUAGUUGGUAAGGUAACGGCUUACCAAGGCGACGAUACGUAGCCGACCUGAGAGGGUGAUCGGCCACACUGGAACUGAGACACGGUCCAGACUCCUACGGGAGGCAGCAGUAGGGAAUCUUCCGCAAUGGGCGAAAGCCUGACGGAGCAACGCCGCGUGAGUGAUGAAGGUCUUCGGAUCGUAAAACUCUGUUGUUAGGGAAGAACAAAUUUGUUAGUAACUGAACAAGUCUUGACGGUACCUAACCAGAAAGCCACGGCUAACUACGUGCCAGCAGCCGCGGUAAUACGUAGGUGGCAAGCGUUAUCCGGAAAUUAUUGGGCGUAAAGCGCGCGUAGGCGGGUUUCUUAAGUCUGAUGUGAAAGCCCACGGCUCAACCCGUGGAGGGUCAUUGGAAACUGGGAAACUUGAGUGCAGAAGAGGAGAGUGGAAUUCCAUGUGUAGCGGUGAAAUGCGCAGAGAUAUGGAGGAACACCAGUGGCGAAGGCGGCUCUCUGGUCUGUAACUGACGCUGAUGUGCGAAAGCGUGGGGAUCAAACAGGAUUAGAUACCCUGGUAGUCCACGCCGUAAACGAUGAGUGCUAAGUGUUAGGGGGUUUCCGCCCCUUAGUGCUGCAGCUAACGCAUUAAGCACUCCGCCUGGGGAGUACGACCGCAAGGUUGAAACUCAAAGGAAUUGACGGGGACCCGCACAAGCGGUGGAGCAUGUGGUUUAAUUCGAAGCAACGCGAAGAACCUUACCAAAUCUUGACAUCCUUUGACCGCUCUAGAGAUAGAGUCUUCCCCUUCGGGGGACAAAGUGACAGGUGGUGCAUGGUUGUCGUCAGCUCGUGUCGUGAGAUGUUGGGUUAAGUCCCGCAACGAGCGCAACCCUUAAGCUUAGUUGCCAUCAUUAAGUUGGGCACUCUAGGUUGACUGCCGGUGACAAACCGGAGGAAGGUGGGGAUGACGUCAAAUCAUCAUGCCCCUUAUGAUUUGGGCUACACACGUGCUACAAUGGAUAAUACAAAGGGCAGCGAAUCCGCGAGGCCAAGCAAAUCCCAUAAAAUUAUUCUCAGUUCGGAUUGUAGUCUGCAACUCGACUACAUGAAGCUGGAAUCGCUAGUAAUCGUAGAUCAGCAUGCUACGGUGAAUACGUUCCCGGGUCUUGUACACACCGCCCGUCACACCACGAGAGUUUGUAACACCCGAAGCCGGUGGAGUAACCUUUUAGGAGCUAGCCGUCGAAG